GCGCCCGUGGCCCAACGGAUAAGGCAUCUGACUACGGAUCAGAAGAUUGGGGGUUCGAAUCCCUCCGGGCGCACCA
rnacentral:tRNA from 1 species